CUGACAAUAUUGUCAGGAUCUGGAAUACGAGAUACAAAGUUUAAGACAUUAUUCAUUUCACGCAUCCUGUUUUGUUUACAAUAUAAAUAAACCACGACUUUUGCAAGUUAAUAUUCUUUAUUUUGUGAAAGAAAUAUGUUGAUAAACAUUAUCUCUUUUGGGUUUAUUGUGGCGGUGGCGUCAGCGCAAACUAUCAUCUAUGACAUUAAUACUCAGGCAAAUUGUACGUUGGUACAACGAGGUCCUACUGAAGACUGCAGAUGGGUAGCGGGGUUAGAUAUGGCCGACCAAGUCAUUGAAAAUGGAAGAAUUAUUGCAUAUAAAAUAUUUUGGUUUGGUGGAGGAUCGUCGGGAUGGUACGUUCCUGGAUUGAACGACUUGGACACUGUUUAUAAUCCUACAGGAAUUGUUAACUGUGGACUACCAUACCGCAACAAGACAAUGCGCAGAAGAUGGGCAAUGUUUAAUGACCAUAAACAUGAAUUUAUAAUUUGUAAACCACGUGAUAUCGAGUUAUAACAAAGGCGAAAACGUGGAACUGUUUAGUCUAUAUAUUAGUUUAAAUAAGAGUAUAUUUUUGAUCACAUAUAUAGAACGCAGAAAUAAAAACGAAGAAUACAUAUCGAUA